AGAAAUUUCCUUUCUUAUAGAUUGAAAUUGCAUGCGUCAAGAUUCACCCUUCUUCACUACUUCUUGACCCAACCCAAUUACAUGUUCUCCCUCCCCCUCCUCCGUAAAUACCAUGGCCGAAAAUGCAUCUUCCAUGGUGAAGUCUUGUUUUUUUCUCAAAUUGAAGCUUGGGAGUACGAAUUGAAAGAGAAAUUGGGACCUCUAGAUGUCAUAAAUCAAGGAUUAAGCCUUUGGGUGCAUAGAAAAUAAGGUAUGGUUAGUGAUUCAUACUUCUCNNNNNNNNNNNNNNNNNNNNNNNNNNNNNNNNNNNNNNNNNNNNNNNNNUUUGAUGUUGCAUGUGUGUUUAUACACGUGUGGAGAACGUGAAACGUUGUAAGAAACAUGGAUUUCAAUAGUCAUGAGACCAUGGGUUUGAUUAUUCCAUGUUUUGGAGGAGAUUAAGUGAUUUUCGUAUUCAAGGACAGACCUACACUUAAAAGGUGAUUUUUCCCUCUCUGUAAAUCUGUUUCGUAUGGGGUUUGUUUCUACGGUUAGCUAAUGAACGUACGGUCGUUUCGACACCAAUUUCAUGAAUUUUGGAGCAGUAUUGAGUUCAGGAGACGCAUCUGAAGUUCAGGGUCUGAUGCAGAAUUUCGGGCUAUGGGUUUGAAGUGUUGUGGCUGCAAUUUCUGUUUUUCAGCAAACUCCCGAUGUGUCAAUGGUACUGUUAAAGGAUCAAAUUCAGGUGGGUUCCUUUAGAAGCUUAACUUUUAGAUUAGUUAGCACCUUUAGUUUCCCCAAAUUCAAUAUAUGUAUGAUAACAUUAGUAUUAGUUAGGAAAUUAGUCUCCCCAAAAUUAUGCAUGACAACAAUAGGAAAAAUUAGGAUAUAAUUGUGUGAGAAGGUUUAAUCCCAAAACCAUCUCGAUUCUAAUUAUAUAAUAUAUUUUAGUUGCUUAUGACUGGACAUGAAUGGGAUUGUAGGUGGAAACUGAUAAACUCUUUUAAAAGUAAAAGCUGAGAAUUGAACUGGUAUUCUCGCAUAGCGAGCAUCUUGCUUCGCUAAGCGAGCGUAUCAGAUUAGGACUUUGUAGGAUCAUCAUUUUAAAUAAAAAUCCACUCGUUUUAUAUCCCCGACUAUUCUGGAAUAUUUUGUAAGCAGCGUAAUAAUAUUAUGUGAUUAGAAUGUUUAUCACGCUCAGGAACUUAGGUUUAGGAAUCGGGACAGUUAGAAUUACCCCGGGAAGGUUUUCUUUCUUUUGGGUAGGAUAACCAUUCAGGAUUAGGAAUUAUGUUUUAGAAUUUAUUAGGAUGUUUGGUCAUUAGUACCAAUGUCAGGAAGCGUGGUCAUUAGUACCAUGUCAGGGGAUUCAUUCAGAAUCCAAAAUCAUGUAAUAAGAAGUGUAAGCUCAUGUUGUAUUCCGACGUACAUUAUUAUCGGUAAUACCAGGCCAGGCACUCCGGGACCGGCUUACCCCGGGGUGAUCCUGUUAUGAUAAAAUUGACAAGAUAAUUAUUAUGUGUGUUACACCUNNNNNNNNNNNNNNNNNNNNNNNNNNNNNNNNNNNNNNNNNNNNNNNNNNNGCUCACUAAGACUUAGUAGUCUCACCCCACGACUUUCAAUUUUUUUUUUUAGGUAAACAGGUUAACCGGAGCAAGGACCAGGCAGGAACUGAUGAUCGAGGUUGAGCUUGGAUUAUCGGAUUAGAAGACUAUCGUCUUCUUCUUUGUUUUUAUGUUAAUCUGUUAAGUUAGAAUUUAAUUCUCUUCCGCUCUAUUGUAAUAGAUUAUCACGUUAUUCAUGUGAUAUCUUGUAAUUCAAUUAAUUUAUUCUGAAAUUUUAAUGUACUCAGAUUCAAUUAUUAAUAUCUCGACUAAAUAUUCUAGACAAUUUAGUUGGGGUGUUACAGAAACUCAGAUUGAUGGAUUUGUCUCUGGUCUUUUGGUUACUUCUGAAACUGCUUUGGCUCCUCCUAAUAAAGUGUUUGCUGGUGGUACAUUGAAAUCUGUUAAGAUUGAAAAAGAGUAAAACCAAGUCUACUAAGAUGUCCUGUUUGUGCUGUUAUUGUUUGUUUGUUUUAUCUAUGUAAAUAAUCACAGGACUUUAUGUACUAUCUGAAGUAUAUGUUUUUAUUUUAGUUGUGUAUUUCGAUCACUUUCUUGGUGGUUUUGUACAAGGUUACCUGAAAUGGAAUGGUUGCUUGCAAUUGUUAAUUCUAUUUCAGAAUCAAUAUAUUAAGCUAUAUGUCUC
rnacentral:lncRNA from 1 species